ensembl:snoRNA
CCCUUCUUUUUAAAAGCACCAUGCCAAAAUCAUCAGGCCUAAGCUUUUUAAGCUUAGCUCUGGCGAUAAUGCUAGUAUGGUUUGUGAUAAAGAAGGAAGAAUAAAGACACAGCUUCGCAAAUGAGUGUAGGAGGGACCUCUUUCCUAAUGUCCAGUGUCCUAUGUCUCAAGAUUCUGUGCUACAACC